UAUCAACUUUCGAUGGUAGGAUAGAGGCCUACCAUGGUGGUAACGGGUAACGGGGUGUUAGGGCACGACACCGGAGAGGGAGCCUGAGAAACGGCUACCACAUCCAAGGAUGGCAGCAGGCGCGCAAAUUACCCAAUCCCGACACGGGGAGGUAGUGACAAUAAAUAACAAUACGGGGUUCUUUCGGAUUUCGUAAUUGGAAUGAGUACAAUUUAAAUCUCUUAACGAGGAACAAUUGGAGGGCAAGUCUGGUGCCAGCAGCCGCGGUAAUUCCAGCUCCAAUAGCGUAUAUUAAAGUUGUUGCAGUUAAAAAGCUCGUAGUUGAAUUUCGGGGUUAGUAGGUUGGUCAUGCCACUGGUAUGUACUGAUCUUACUGAUUCCUCCUUCCUGAUGAACCGUAAUGCCAUUAAUUUGGUGUUGCGGGGAGACUGGACUGUUACUUUGAAAAAAUUAGAGUGUUUAAAGCAGGCUAACGCUUGAAUACAUUAGCAUGGAAUAAUGAAAUAGGACGUUCGAUCCUAUUUUGUUGGUUUCUAGGAUUGACGUAAUGAUUAAUAGGGAUAGUUGGGGGCAUUAGUAUUCAAUUGUCAGAGGUGAAAUUCUUGGAUUUAUUGAAGACUAACUACUGCGAAAGCAUUUGCCAAGGAUGUUUUCAUUAAUCAAGAACGAAAGUUAGGGGAUCGAAGACGAUCAGAUACCGUCGUAGUCUUAACCAUAAACUAUGCCGACUAGGGAUCGGAUGAUGUUAAUUUUUUAAUGACUCAUUCGGCGCCUUACGGGAAACCAAAGUGUUUGGGUUCA
rnacentral:rRNA from 1 species